rnacentral:rRNA from 1 species
CAGCCGCCGCGGUAAAACGGAGGGUGCAAGCGUUAUCCGGAUUUACUGGGUUUAAAGGGUGCGUAGGCGGACUUGUAAGUCCGAGGUGAAAUCUCUGAGCUUAACUCGGAAACUGCCUUGGAUACUAUAGGUCUUGAAUCUCGUUGAGGUUUGCGGAAUAUGUCAUGUAGCGGUGAAAUGCUUAGAUAUGACAUAGAACACCUAUUGCGAAGGCAGCAGGCUAAACGAAUAUUGACGCUGAUGCACGAAAGCGUGGGGAUCAAACAGGAUUAGAUACCCGCGUAGUCCCUGUCUCUUAUAC